rnacentral:rRNA from 1 species
GAUGAACGCUGGCGGCGUGCCUAAUACAUGCAAGUCGAGCGAACAGAUGAGGCGCUUGCUCCUCUGACGUUAGCGGCGGACGGGUGAGUAACACGUGGAUAACCUACCUAUAAGACUGGGAUAACUUCGGGAAACCGGAGCUAAUACCGGAUAAUAUAUUGAACCGCAUGGUUCAAUAGUGAAAGACGGUUUUGCUGUCACUUAUAGCUGGAUCCGCGCCGCAUUAGCUAGUUGGUAAGGUAACGGCUUACCAAGGCGACGAUGCGUAGCCGACCUGAGAGGGGGAUCGGCCACACUGGAACGUAGCCACGGUCCAGACUCCUACGGGAGGCAGCAGUAGGGAAUCUGCCGCAAUGGGCGAAAGCCUGACGGAGCAACGCCGCGUGAGUGAUGAAGGUCUUCGGAUCGUAAAACUCUGUUAUUAGGGAAGAACAAAUGUGUAAGUAACUAUGCACGUCUUGACGGUACCGAAUCAGAAAGCCACGGCUAACUACGUG